CUGGGGCUGGCUGCUUGCUAAGAGAUCUUAUUAAGAAUUCCAUUCGCUCUUGUAGGCUCUCCCUUUCCCAAAUACAAUCCAGCUUUAUUUUGAAGUUUUAGGUUGGCUUUAAUGGGGGUGGGGACAGAGUUGAUUCCCUAGCAGAAAGCUUCUCGGGCCGGGGAUUUAGCUCAGUGGUUCCGCCACCCGCCUUGCAAGCUCAAGGACCUGAGUUCGAUCCCCAGAACCAAAAACAAACAAAAACGAAACAAAACAGAAAGCUUCCCACUGCCCUGUAUCAGUAAUAGACGCACGUGCUAAGCAAACCUUCCUGGGCACUUCCACGCUCUUGCUGUAACAGUUUUAAAUCAGGUCCAGGGACACUAUCAUCAUUUAACAACAAAUUCUUUUAAGUGUCCAUGCUUGCUCUAUGCUUUCUUUUUGUGAAACAGAAAGUGGAAGGUUGAAUGAAAUGACAAUGGAUCAAUUAGGAUUUUCUUAGUGCCACUGUAAACAUCAGAGCAGAAGUUCUUAGAGCCAAGGGUUUUUAAUGGAAUUAGGGGAAUGACCUAUUUUAAAAAUGUAAACCAUUGGGCCUGGUAUUUAGCUCAGUGGCACCAAGCCUGCCUCAUAAGCCCAAGGUCUUGAGUUUGAUCCCUGCUACAAAAAAAAAAUGUAAACCAACCACCGUUUGCCUCUAAUUUUUUAAUCUGACAAGGUGAACAGUUUAAGUGAAACAAAUAUACAUCUUUAUAAAGUUUGAAAAUAAAAGAUCAAGGGUACCUUUAGGAUGUACCCAAAGGUAAGAAUCCGGCUGGGCUCAGGAGCUAAAACAGAAAUCUAUAGGAAUCGGGGAGUACAAUGGACCCUUCACUUACAAACUCGAUCGGUUCCCAAGGGCUGGUUGUAACUGAGCUGAGACCUGCAUGUUUUACCUGGGUACCUGCUAUAGAUAACAAGAGGCAGAUGAAUCUUCAUUAGCCUAAUUAACCCUAGUGUUCCUGUCAGCCAUAACUUAGGGUACCCUGCAAUUUGCAUUUCUCUCCUCCCCGCCUUGGUGCCUAAGCUCUCUCCUUCCAGACUGACAGAGUAACUGCUGGUUGGCCACAGCGCUCUCAAGUUAGAGCUCCAUGGAGGAGCCCUGUCCACCCGAGGUCCCCAAGGAAGGAGGGGAAACCACCGGCCGGCUGAGCAGCAGCCUCCCUGUGAAGUGACCUUAAAGCAGCUGCAGCCAUCGCACCACGUUACAGGGCACUGGGACCCCGGCCGAUUGGGACAGGAGCCGUGUGGCAGAUACAGGCAAGCCCAGCUGCUCCGGUCCACGUGGCUGACACACGUCGGUGAGAAAGAUGACACUCACAGCAGUCACCGCCCGUCUGCCCUGCAGCCCUGGGCCUGGCAGGCUUCACUCCGUGGGAAGCCGGAUACAGACAGGGUGCACCCAAAGCCCGACCCCAGACAACCCUCACUACUCCAGCUGGACUGGGUGUUGCAACCACACACACUUAUUAUGGCACCCCUGAAAAACUGUUGGUCCCACAGUACAUCUAGCAA